CUUCCUGCCAGAGCCCUCCCCCAACAGUGGAAAGGUUGCUGCAUGCUCCAGCCUCAAUUUCCCCAGUCUCUCUGUUCGGCCCUUUGCUGUCUGCUCUAAGCCUCCCCUUCUGCUCUUGCUCACCUGGACAAAGAAGGAGGUGGAAGAUCCAGGAAAUUCCAGCCGCUGAGCCCUGAGAUGGAGAGCCGGGCUGGGGAGUCCCAGCCAGAGAUCGGCACCCGGGCGGAAGGCUUCCUCCAGAGCCAGGCGGGGACGCUGAAGCGCAAAAGGCAGUUUCAUAGUCCAUUGAAAGAUGGAGAAGAGGCUCCGGCCGUGCCUUGGCAGAGAUUGUUCUUUGGGGUGAUCAAG